GAAAAGGAAAAGGAAUAUGAAAUCUGGUUUCAUUAUCAAACAAGAGACGAUAUACCAAAUACAAUACAUGUUUGAGUCUGGAAAAUUUUUUGAAGUUCACCUGGACUAAAACAAAUAGUCUUGAAUGUCUCAAAAUUGAUGUUAGCUGGGACAUAGUAAUAUGUGUUUUCAUACACAAUAUAUUUGGUAGGUGCUGGUAAAUUUUCCAAGUUUCAAAUUUUGAAAUUCAAACAGCAGGCUACUGUCAUCACCCUCCUCGUAGCAUUCUGCAACCUUAAGACACACCAUUCUCAACAGACCAUCAGGCGAUCAGCCUGUGAUUUCUCAAUUUCUAAAUCUUGACCUCCCCACUUCCGCAUACGCUCAUUCGUCUCCUCAACCUCCUUGUUCCAAUUUGUCUUAUAUAGUACAAUCAAGAGUAGCACAGUCUGCAAAGAUGUCCCAGCUAUCAUUCCCAGCCAAAGUCCCUUUGCUCCCAACUUUGCCACAUAGCCAAGAAUAAAUCCUAGAGGGAGUCCAAAAAUGUAAUAAGAUCCCAGAUUAAUAUAAGCCACUAAAGCUUGCCAUCCACCUCCCACAGCAACACCUGAUAUAACAGGCUGAACACUGUUAAGAACCAUAGUUAUUCCGAGAAGGUAAGAAAGAUCACCAACAGCUUGUUGCAUAUCUUUGCUGCUAGUAAAUAUAAUGGCCAAAUGCUCUCUAGCUACCAUUACAAUAACCAUACAGAGUAGCCCAAUUAGGAGUGACUGAAACACUGAGAUGUAGACACAGUAUUUAGUGGCCCUUGGACGUCCUAGGCCAAGCUCAUUUGAGACCCGUACACUUAUGGCAGCAUUAACUCCAAUAAACAACAUGCCUUCAUACCCAUUGACAUUCAUGCAAAUAGAAAUAGAUCCAACUGCAAUAACUGCAUUGUCAAGAUGGCCAACAAGGAUGAUAAUACUCAUCAUAUACCAAAUUUCAAGACAUAGCAUAAUGGCUGAGGCAAUGGAGAGCCUCACAAAGGACCAUAUUUCGUUAAAUGCUGCCCAGGACAAUCCCUUCCACCCAUCCUUACACCAUCCAACAACAUAAGCAAACUGAGCUAUUGCCAAGACCCAACUUGUUAGGUUAAAGGCUAUGGCAGCACCAGUCGUACCCCAGCCGAAUGUGUAAAUAAAGAGCCAAAGAAGUGUAGCAUGCAUGAGUAGAACUACAAAUCCAAUCCAGGCAAUCACAUCAACUUUGCUUUGGGCUUGAAGGAAUUUGGAGGUAGGAAAAUUGAUGGAAAGCGAAAACAAUUGGGGGAUGAUUAAUAUGGCAUAUUCCCCCGCAAGCUCAGCAAUUUGAGAUUCUUGGCCUAGUAGCUUAAGCACUGGGGUUGCAAAUAGAUAUAUUGGCAAGAGCAAGAUACAAGUUACAAACAGAAUAAUGAUAGAGCGUUGCAUAUAAACACCAAGCAUGUGAAUUUGACCUGCACCAUAUGCCUGUCCACACAGCGUCUCCAAUGCACUUCCCAUUCCCAGCAUGACCCCGAAGGCGAGACCGGCAAUAACCGAGUUCUCAACGGAUACAGCAGCGAGCUCAACCUCACCAACAAGACCAGCAAAGGUCUGAGUAAGUGCACCCAGUGAAUACUGGCAAAUGGCAGUAAAGAUCGCUGGUCCUGCUAGCUUCCAUAGCCUCUUGGACUCUUCCCCAAAAUCUCUAAUAACGCUAAUAUGCUUUUGCUCUUGACGGCCACCAUUGGGAUUGCUAUCGAGAAGAGGAGUAUCUAUGGCCAUGGAUCACUUGUGCUUGCUAAAGCUCCUAGUCUGCUGCUGUCCUUGCAAUAAAAAAGAAUUGCUCUCAAUCUACUGCGAGUAUUUAAGACGUAAAGAAAAGGGGUUUAUCAAUAAAGAUUCUAUGAUGAUCUGUAGUUCUUAGUCAACCAGGUAGAGGUAGGUAUGAACUAGUUUAGCAUAGCUAGCCGCAUGGUGUUU
rnacentral:misc_RNA from 1 species